GGGUCAGUAGGUUGGUCGUGCCACCGGUACGUACUGGUCUCACUGAUUCCUCCUUCCUGAAGAACCGUAAUGCCAUUAAUUUGGUGUUGCGGGGAAGCAGGACUGUUACUUUGAAAAAAUUAGAGUGUUUAAAGCAAGCUAACGCUUGAAUACAUUAGCACGGAAUAAUGAAAUAGGACGAUCGAUCCUAUUUUGUUGGUUUCUAGGAUUGACGUA
rnacentral:rRNA from 1 species